rnacentral:rRNA from 1 species
UACGUAGGGUGCAAGCGUUGUCCGGAAUUAUUGGGCGUAAAGGGCUCGUAGGCGGUUUGUCACGUCGGGAGUGAAAUCCACUGGCUUAACUGGUGGCUUGCUUUCGAUACGGGCAGACUGGAGGUAUGCAGGGGAGAACGGAAUUCCUGGUGUAGCGGUGAAAUGCGCAGAUAUCAGGAGGAACACCGGUGGCGAAGGCGGUUCUCUGGGCAUGUCCUGACGCUGAGGAGCGAAAGUGUGGGGAGCGAACAGG